UUUUUAUUUACUCAGUUGUGAUCCUGGGAAAUGUCAGCACAGCAGAGACUGCCCCAGGCACGAAGGUGAGUUGGGCCUGCAUAUCAGCUGCACACAGACAGAGAUGCAGCGAUAACAAGGCUGCUGGGGAUAAGGCCCUGCUACAUCCCUGCCAUUCGGCCAGUCACCGGCUGCCAGGCACUCUUCCAGGUACGUGGAAUUCAGUGAUGAACAAAAUAGACAAAGCCCCUACCCUCGCCAACCUCAAGACAUUCUAUUAGAGGGGGGCAGACAAUAAACAGGUACACAGGGCUUGAAGAACACGAGGCCAGGUAAGGCAGGUGAGCAUGGCUUGUAAUGAGGUCAGGGGGACCUCGGAGGAGGUGACACAUGAGCAGUCCUGAAGGACCAGAGGGAGCACCAUGCACAAUGCCUGCAACCUGGCAUGUGUUGCUUCAGUAAACCCUCCUGGUGUCCCUGGCUAUGCAAGUGACAUUCUCCCAUCUUACUGAUGAGGAAGCUCCACCUGUAGCUACAAAUGGAGGCACGAGAUUCAGACUCAGCCCUGUCUCCCAGAACUCAGCUACCUCUCUACUGGCUCACAGGAGUACAAGCACGCUUCAAGAAUGUGGACGUCACAAAGCCUGUGGAGGGGGAAGCGGGUGGUGUGCAGUGGGGGUCUUGGGGAGAGGGAUAUGCACAGGGUUAGUGGGGUGAGUGGAUCUAGAGUUCACUCGGGAACACCUCCUUGUAGAUGUGAGUUUAGAGUUAGGCUUGGAAAGAAGGAAGGGAGGGAGAGAGGGAGGGAGGGAAGGAAAGAGGAAGGAAGGAAAGGUGGACAAUUCCAUAGGGAGAGGAUCUGGCUCAUGCAGAGCUUCAGUGGGAGUGGUGAGGAGGGCUGUCCACAGGGAGGAACCUGCUUUGGAGUGGAUGGUGCAAAUUCGUGGCAAGAGAAGAGGCCUCAGAUUCAGGUUGUACACUCUGGUUCUUUCACCACCAUACGAAGGUCCAGCCUCAUGCUAGGACCUUGGGGGCCCCACAAGGAUGAGGCCUCUAGGCCUUCCCUCAGGGAGCAAGGGAAGAACAGCAAAAUCAGAAACAUCCUAGGACAGAUUGUAUCAGACUGAACAGUGACCACACAUCCCAGAUCCCACCCUGUGGUAGGCUAGCCAAGCAUAUUCCCCUACUAUUGCUUACUCGGUCCCACCAUUUGGG
rnacentral:lncRNA from 1 species